AACGAACGCUGGCGGCAGGCUUAACACAUGCAAGUCGAGCGCCCCGCAAGGGGAGCGGCAGACGGGUGAGUAACGCGUGGGAAUCUACCCAUCCCUACGGAACAACUCCGGGAAACUGGAGCUAAUACCGUAUACGCCCUUCGGGGGAAAGAUUUAUCGGGGAUGGAUGAGCCCGCGUUGGAUUAGCUAGUUGGUGGGGUAAAGGCCUACCAAGGCGACGAUCCAUAGCUGGUCUGAGAGGAUGAUCAGCCACAUUGGGACUGAGACACGGCCCAAACUCCUACGAGAGGCAGCAGUGGGGAAUAUUGGACAAUGGGCGCAAGCCUGAUCCAGCCAUGCCGCGUGAGUGAUGAAGGUCUUAGGAUUGUAAAGCUCUUUCACCGGAGAAGAUAAUGACGGUAUCCGGAGAAGAAGCCCCGGCUAACUUCGUGCCAGCAGCCGCCGUAACAC
rnacentral:rRNA from 1 species